CGAAGGACGACGUUGAUGACGUAUUUAGUCCCAGCAGGACUGGAGAAAAAAUUCGAUUGCGAUCGAAACUGCGCUGCUGGUCGGAGUCCAAACAAUAUCAACCACCUCAAGAAGGAUGCUCAAGAAGUUUGAACUUUUCAAAGUCACAAGUUCAGUCUGAGGACUUAGAACAACUGCUGAAGAAUAAUGAGAAAGGAAAAAUAAUUUCGAAAUAUUUUGAAAAAUUUCAGACACUCAAUAACCUAAUGCGAAAGCAAUUGAGUGAAAUCAUCUGCGAUUCAUAUAUUUCAUUAGAAAAGCCCUUCCCGUUAUCAGAUAUGGAAAAAUUCAGUGAACUUAUUUCCGCAAAAUUUUCUUCUGAAACAAAAGACGCUUAUCUAUGUGCUCGUGAUAAAGAAAUUGGCAAAUUGAACCCGUCUGGAUUGAUAUAUAACCGGUACUAUAACUCGCGAGAUCGGAAAGCAUUCCAGCCACCAGUUCAGAGGAAACGGAAACUGGAAAACCCCAACGACGAUCCAAGAACAAGCGAAGCUCAUCAACAUUUCAGUCAAGAAGAUUUAGUUAUCCUGAAGGAAGAUCAUGCCUGGUUGAUGAAUAAUAAUGUUCCCGUCGAAGAUGUUAAAGAGCGUUGGAGAAGAACAGUAAAGUUUCGUCUUGAUAGUAUCAAAGAUCUGCAGAACGAAAGAAAUAAGUUCCAGAAGCUUUUGGAGGUGUGGCCUCGGUUUAAGGAUAGCGAAGGAGCAGUUUAUCUGGACAUUGAUUACAAUGCUCUAACGGACGGAAAAGGAAACGGACUCUUAGUUGGUUGGCCCUCGUUUUCUG